CCACCGGCCUUAUUUAAGGCCAUAAACUCCUACUUUUUUUUUUGA
rfam:Pterocles gutturalis contig84597, whole genome shotgun sequence.